UUCUUGAUAGAGAACAAUUUGGAACUUGACACACAUUUACAGUCUUUUGUUAUAGCCAUGUUGACCUCAAAAUGUGUUUAUAAUUAUGCGUUUUUAUUUCUUGUUUGGGUCGUAAUGGCUUAUACCACUUAUUUUACUUAAUUCAUAAAUGCUAAUCUACAAAAUAUUACUAUUAUAACAAAAAGUUGAGUUACAGGCUCUCCAUUAAAUACCAGUGAACUGAGGUGCUAUAUAAGGUUAACCAAUUCCGGUAUAACUAAUUGCACCCUUCUUGUUGCAUGGAACAAGUGAAAAUCUGUUGAUAUAUCAUAUUUAGUUAUAAGUCACCAAUGAUUAAAGAAACACUGGAUUGUAUUUAAAACAAAUGGUACUAAAAAUUUCUACAUUUUUGAGUUCUAUAUCUUUAAGGAAUUUCUUUUACAGC
rnacentral:lncRNA from 1 species